rnacentral:tRNA from 1 species
GGAAGCGUGCCUGAACAAAAAGGAUCACUAUGAUAAAGUGAACAUAGAGGUACACAAGCCUCUCACUUCCU